GAUUUCUAUGAGAGUAUUUAAUUUUUCUUCCAUCCUUUUUAAUGUAUAUUGAAGACAUAAAAAAAUUAUAAUUUUUCUUCUAUCUUGUAGUAGGUCAAUUUCUCUAUCUGUGAUAUUCAUGCACAAACGAACUUCUUAAACUAGGUUGUUAACUAAAAUAUGUUAGGAGGUUGUUAAUUUUGUAGUGAUUAAUUUUUCUUUAUGACAAUUAUUAAACCUCAUUUUGCCUUCAUAUAGUUAUCUUUGUCAAAUUUACAUAACCAAGCACUUUCAGGUUGAGACACCAUUGACCUUCAACCGCUAAUUAUGGACAACAUUACUAUUUUUGGUCAAGUAAGUUGUUUUCUUUUUUAUUUAUUUGAAAAAAAAAAACAUUUUUCUUAUAAGCAAAAGUCAAUUUUCUUUUCUUUUCAUAGUUUUUUUAAUCUAAUUCCUUAUAACAAAAUGCUCUUUUCUUAUAAUUUACAGAUGGAUGGAGACCUACGUCGAACUGUAAUACUGGCUCCUUUUACUCAUUUUCUUACAUGUAUAAUUUUUUUAUUUUUUUUUACCUCUAAUUCUUUUGUAUUUUUAGGUCCAAUUUCUUCAAGAAAGAAAUGUUAAUGUUGUUAUCCGUGAUGAGUGUGACCCUAAUGUCAUCCGUAUUCGAGAGGCAAAAGAAAAGGAAAUUGCCAAGGCAUUGUUGAAGAAAAAUGAAAAGACCACUGUUUCGGGCAAGGGAAAGGAAAAUGCAUGUUCAGUAGCACAUAACAAUAAUAUUAUAUCGAAAGCUGCAUUGGCUCAACGUGCACGGUGAGAACGCGAAAGAAAUGAUAA